GAGCUACUUGAGAUGAUGGCUGCCGCCGGAGAGAAGAUGCGCUUUGGGGGUGUCGGCUCCAAGCUAAAAGUGACGCCAUCUUCUUCCCUUUUUUGUUUUACUCAACCCCUCGUGUUCUUGAAGCUUCUGUGCAAACAAUGUAGGAGCUGAACUCCUGGCAACGCUACUGGCUUCGUAGUCUGAUUUUUUUUUCUCAGGAGCAAGAAGCAUAGGGCAAGAAGCAUGGGGCUGUCUACGAGACGCUUGGCGACUCCAAGCAGAAGCUGCAUUAUUUCUCGAGGCGGCAGAUUAGAGCAGAGGGGAUUUGUGGCAGAAGUGGUGGUUACCAACCGAAGACUGCAUGUGCGCAAAUAUUGUUCCCUGCAAUCUUUGGAGGGGGAUAAAAUUCUGGUUGUACAUACACCCGAAGCCCGCCGAUCAGUACAAAGCAUCACACAGCCCCAACAACAACUCAUCCUUCUACGAUUCUGGGAUGUCUCGGGAUGAUGGGUCUUAACUGGAAAUCAAAUGUGAGGUGUGUGUGCCCUGUACUUCUUGGUAUUAUGAUCAAAUUUGAGGUGUGUGCCCUGUGCUUCAAGGCAUUAUGAUCAAAUAAUCGGAAGGCCCUGGUGAUUAUUAGAAAGCAUAUAUAAUUAGGCAUUAUUCCAUGCCAUGUAUAAUUUUUAAUUUGCAUCGUAUGAUAAGAUGCUUGAUUCUUAUGCUAUUGAGAAAACAUGAUUUGCUUUAACCUUAUUUUGAACUAUCAAUCAAAUGUCGUGAUGCAUUUACUGGUAGCAAUUUACUAUGGAAAUGUGCUUCUCUCUUCGCUUGAAGAAGUCAUCAGGUUUCAAUUACUGAGAUUGGUAUCUGUGAGGAAUGCCUGAACUUGGUAGUCAUAUAAACUUGAUUGAGCUUUUUCUAAAAAUAUAGAUUUGGUUGUCAUUUUAAAAUCAUGGCCCACUUUUCCUGUAGCUUUUCAUGCCCAAAGUGAGUAGUAAAUUUGAUGAGACCGUGUAGAUGUUUUGAAAAGAAGUCAGCAUUAUACAUUCUCCUCUUGCUUUUUAUUUCUGAAUCUAAUGUUUGUUUCAUGUGAAUUGUACAUGCAUGGCUAAAUUUAUGUAGUGUAUUUGUGCAAACACCCCUGAUGAUGCAUUGAGAUCUUUUUUCCAGUCAUUGCUCAGAUUACUAAUGUGGGCUCUAACUAUGCACAUCUAUUCGUUUUCCAAUUGAUGGUUGUGGGCGGCAAUAAUAACAAGUGCUACCAUUUAUUCUAUUCUAAUAUGAAAGCCUCAAUUUGUUUCUGCCAUUUCUUCUGUCAGGAGGAAUUCAAACUCAUAAUGCAUUGUAUUAGAUCUUUCACCAGGUUACUCGCAUGUUGGAGCACGCCAUAUUGAAAUAUUGAUCAUGUAAGUUUAUCUCAAUGACGAUGGCAAAUAUUUCAAGUCCUUUAUGUUCUUAUUACAUACUCAGUCUAUGUGCAAAUUGCCUUGGAACUAUAGUUUUGUAUCGAUUACUCGGUUAGACAUUAUGCCUCCAGAACAAUGGCAAGAUUUUCAUGGUGAAAUCCUAACAGGUCUCCACAGUAUUAUGUU